rnacentral:tRNA from 1 species
AAAGGGAGACCUAAUUCGGGUAUGGGAUGAAAAAAAAGUAGUCCCAACCAAGAAUCAAUCCCAAAAGGUCGGAGCGAGGCGAAAUUGGCUUUCAAACUAGGUUCUGGGUUCACUGAAGACCUGAAUCAGGAACAAGGGCUAUUAGCUCAGGUGGUUAGAGCGCACCCCUGAUAAGGGUGAGGUCCCUGGUUCGAGUCCAGGAUGGCCCACCUGCACAGGUGGUAAAAACAAGAGAAGCGAGGAAUCAGCACCUUAUCUUACUUACAUAGUAAGAGAGAAUGCUGGCUCUGAGUAAAGAGUCCAGAGGAACCUUGAAAACUGCAUAGAGCUAGGUGAAAAAGCCAAAAAAGAAGACCGCAAG